rnacentral:rRNA from 1 species
UACAGAGGGUGCAAGCGUUGUCCGGAUUUAUUGGGCGUAAAGAGCGUGUAGGCGGCCAGAUAGGUCAGCUGUGAAAACUCGAGGCUCAACCUCGAGACGUCGGUUGAAACCAUCUGGCUAGAGUCCGGAAGAGGAGAGUGGAAUUCCAGGUGUAGCGGUGAAAUGCGUAGAUAUCGGGAGGAACACCAGUGGCGAAGGCGACUUCCUGGCCUGUUCUUGACGCUGAGGCGCGAAAGCUAAGGGGAGCAAACGGGG